UCCGCUAUGGUAUUAGGGAGCA
rnacentral:siRNA from 1 species